GACCAAGGAGUCUAACACGCGCGCAAGUCGCAGGGCCGUACGAAACCCGAAGGCGCAACGAAAGUGAAGGCCGCUCUCGAGAGCGGCUCGGGCGGGAUCCGCGGCGGAGAAAUCCGCCGCGGCGCACCGCCGGCCCGUCUCGGCCGCGACGUCGGCGAGGCGGAGCAAGAGCGCGCGCGUUGGGACCCGAAAGAUGGUGAACUAUGCCCGAGCAGGACGAAGCCAGAGGAAACUCUGGUGGAGGUCCGCAGCGAUUCUGACGUGCAAAUCGAUCGUCGAACUUGGGUAUAGGGGCGAAAGACUAAUCGAACCGUCUAGUAGCUGGUUCCUGUCGAAGUUUCCCUCAGGAUAGCUGGCGCUCGUUGCAGUUUUAUCCGGUAAAGCGAAUGAUUAGAGGCCUUGGGGACGAAACGACCUCAACCUAUUCUCAAACUUUAAAUGGGUAAGAAGUCCGACUCGCUCGAUCGGAGCCGGGCCGUUGCGAAUGCGAGUGCCAAGUGGGCCACUUUUGGUAAGCAGAACUGGCGCUGUGGGA
rnacentral:rRNA from 1 species